GAUGAACGCUGGCGGCGUGCUUAACACAUGCAAGUCGAACGAAGCACUCUAUUUGAUUUUCUUCGGAAAUGAAGAUUUUGUGACUGAGUGGCGGACGGGUGAGUAACGCGUGGGUAACCUGCCUCAUACAGGGGGAUAACAGUUGGAAACGACUGCUAAUACCGCAUAAGCGCACAGGAUUGCAUGAUCCGGUGUGAAAAACUCCGGUGGUAUGAGAUGGACCCGCGUCUGAUUAGCCAGUUGGCAGGGUAACGGCCUACCAAAGCGACGAUCAGUAGCCGACCUGAGAGGGUGACCGGCCACAUUGGGACUGAGACACGGCCCAAACUCCUACGGGAGGCAGCAGUGGGGAAUAUUGCACAAUGGGGGAAACCCUGAUGCAGCGACGCCGCGUGAGCGAAGAAGUAUUUCGGUAUGUAAAGCUCUAUCAGCAGGGAAGAAGAAUGACGGUACCCGACUAAGAAGCACCGGCUAA
rnacentral:rRNA from 1 species